rnacentral:rRNA from 1 species
AAUGGCUCACCAAGGCGACGAUCCGUAGCUGGUCUGAGAGGAUGAUCAGCCACAUCGGGACUGAGACACGGCCCGAACUCCUACGGGAGGCAGCAGUGGGGAAUAUUGGACAAUGGGCGAAAGCCUGAUCCAGCCAUGCCGCGUGUGUGAAGAAGGCUUUCGGGUUGUAAAGCACUUUCAGUGAGGAAGAACGCCUUCGGCUUAAUACGCCGGAGGAAAGACAUCACUCACAGAAGAAGCACCGGCUAACUCCGUGCCAGCAGCCGCGGUAAUACGGAGGGUGCGAGCGUUAAUCGGAAUUACUGGGCGUAAAGCGCGCGUAGGUGGCUUGAUAAGCCGGUUGUGAAAGCCCCGGGCUCAACCUGGGAACGGCAUCCGGAACUGUCAGGCUAGAGUGCAGGAGAGGAAGGUAGAAUUCCCGGUGUAGCGGUGAAAUGCGUAGAGAUCGGGAGGAAUACCAGUGGCGAAGGCGGCCUUCUGGACUGACACUGACACUGAGGUGCGAAAGCGUGGGUAGCAAACAGGAUUAGAUACCCUGGUAGUCCACGCCGUAAACGAUGUCGACUA